UUUUGGCUUAUUAUAAUUAGGAAAUUCUCUUAUUAAUAACAAGUUUAAAGAAAAGAACCUAACAGUAAAUUAUACACCCUUUUUCUUCCCGAGACCUCCUUUUGUUGCUACUACUAUUUUCCGAUCAAUUCAACAAAAUCUAGAUUUAUCAAUCAUCGGCGACAGGGAAGAAUUAUUGUGAUUUUUCAAGUAUGUUUUUCUCCGGUGAUCCUUCGACGAGGAAGCGAGUCGAUUUGGGUGGCCGCAGCUCCAAGGAACGUGACCGACAGAAGCUUCUAGAGCAGACUCGUUUAGAGCGGAAUCGUCGCCUCUGGUUGCGUCAGCAGAACUCUGCUGCCCUCAAAAUUCAGAAAUGCUUCAGAGGUAGAAAGGAGGUUGAAACUGAAUGUUCUAAAGUUCGCGAGAAUUUCUUGAAAACUCAUGGGGAACGCUGCCACACUGUUGACAGGCAGUGCUUCAGUCCAGAUUCAGAUUUUCUGCGUCACCUACUUUUCUUUUUCAAUCCAACAUACACUACUGAUGUUUCUGUCCUUGUGGAGACAUGCCGAUCGCUUCUAGAGUUUGUUCGAGAUAACGGGGAUGUUGUUAGCCUCUUUGCUGGUACGGAAUAUGCUUCCAAAGCUGCCUUGGUGAGAUACAGAGUGAAGAAAUUCGCUCAUGCUUGUAUUCGGGCUGUUUAUGGAAACAGGAAUAAGUUGAGAGAUCAACUUUUUAUGGAAUCUGAGAAGUCCUGUACAUCAGCAAUCCUCUUGUUGGAUGCAGUAACAUUGUUGAUUGAUUUAGGGCUUCCUUGGGCUUGCAGCACUGUCACCUAUCUUCUUCAAAGGAAUAUAUAUUCCUUAUUUCGGGAAAUUGUUCUGAUUGGCAAGGAUAGAAGCUUUCCAGCUUCCAACAGGGUUGUAUCUUCAUUCGAGCGCGUGCUUGGACUAAUUACAUCUCAUAUUGGUCAAGGCACUUGUACUUGCCCAACUGUUGAUCCACAAUGUUUCUUUCCCUCCCAGAUUCUUACAAUUCCAUUUUUAUGGCGGUUUUUCCCUCACCUGAAAGAGAUCUUUGCAAGUCCAUCAGUGAGUCGUCAUUAUUUUCAUCAGAUGAAAUUAUGCAUGAAAGACCAUAUUAAUGUCCUCCCUCCUGAUAUAGCGAUUGAUCUUCCUGGUUAUGCUUGCCUUCUUGGGAAUCUAUUGGAAGUUGCCGGGCUUGCUUUUGCUCAGCCAGAAUCAUUCACUAUGGUUGGAAAACAUGUUCAUUGGAUAACCAAAUCGAGGAUGAAGUCAGAACCAAAUUCUGAAAUGGCUAAUGACAAAGUUACGGUGGUUGUUGCUGCACCAACCCGAACUGCUGCACUACUAGCAGAGAAACCGAGAAAAUUCUCUGGUGUAAAUUUCAAAGGAUUGCAGCAAUGGGUAUUUUUCUGGAUUACCACUCUUGGUCUGCAUAAAUUUACCAAUGUAGUAACUCCAGUGCCUACUGCGAAAAUACCAUACAGAGAAAAAUUCAUGAUUAUUGAAGCAUGGAAACAGGCAGACUUCCUAUGUAAGGGCUACAUUUUGAGUGCUUUAGAGGAUGAUUCAUAUAAUGUCUAUAAUGCAAUGACAACUUCGAAAGAAUUGUGGGAUGCACUUGAGAAGAAAUAUAAGACAGAAGAUGCAUGCUUGAAAAAGUUUGUGGUCGCAAAGUUUUUAGACUAUAAAAUGUCAGAUAGUAAAACUGUAGGAUCGCAAGUGCAGGAACUUCAACUUAUUUUCCAUGAUCUGAUUGCUGAAGUAAAUGAAGCAUUUUAAGUGGCUGCAAUGAUCGAGAAGUUACCUCCUUCGUGGAACGACUUCAAGAAUUAUUUAAAGCACAAACGUAAGGAAAUGAAGCUUGAAGAUCUUGUGAUUUGGCUCAAGAUUGAGAAAGAUAACAAAACCGCCGAAAAGAAGUCUCGUAAGAAAGCUCCUACCAAAGACAAGAAGAGAAGGAAGUCCAACGGACAAAAGACAGAACAGGCCAAGAAAAAUUUCAAGGGCAACUGUUACAAUUGUGGUAAGGCUGAAAGGCAAAGGCAAAAGCCAAGCAAACAUUGUGGAAGAGAUGGAAGAUGCAGAUGACCUUUGUGCAAUGAUCUCGGAGUGCAACUUAGUUGGAAAUCCCAAGGAGUGGUUUCUCGACUCAGGUGCCACUAGACAUAUUUGCUCUGCGAAAGAAGCCUUUGCAACAUACACUCCUGCUGAGGUUGAUGAAAAUUUGUUCAUGGGAAACACAGCAACAACAAGGAUUGCAGGAACUGGGAAGGUAAUAUUGAAGAUGACAUCCGGUAAGGUGUUGACUCUGAACAACGUUCUACAUGUUCCUAUUAUAAGGAAGAAUUUAGUUUCUGCUGCACUGCUCAUUAAAAAUGGGUUUAAUAAGGAUGAAGCAAUUGAUGCAUUUAAGCAAUACAAAAAUGAAGUGGAAAAUCAAUUGAAUCUAAAGUUAAAAAUGAUUCGAAGUGAUAGGGGUGGAGAAUAUGAAUCUCUUUUUGCUGAGAUAUGUUUGGAAUAUGUAAAAUGGUUUGGCUUAAUGGAAGAACAAAACAUUAAUGGAAAUGAUGAAUGCCUUGAUAAUCAGUUUUGGUUCACCAAGAAAUCUAUGGGGAGAAACCAUCCUUACGGUUAA